UACGUAGGGUGCAAGCGUUGUCCGGAUUUAUUGGGCGUAAAGAGCUCGUAGGUGGUUCGGUAAGUCGGGUGUUAAACCCCCAGGCUCAACCUGGGGACGCCACUCGAUACUGCUGUGACUAGAGUCCGGUAGGGGAGCGUGGAAUUUCUGGUGUAGCGGUGAAAUGCGCAGAUAUCAGGAGGAACACCAGCGGCGAAGGCGGCGCUCUGGGCCGGUACUGACACUGAGGAGCGAAAGCUAGGGGAGCGAAUGGG
rnacentral:rRNA from 1 species